UGCAGUCGAGCGGACAGAAGGGAGCUUGCUCCCGGAUGUUAGCGGCGGACGGGUGAGUAACACGUGGGUAACCUGCCUGUAAGACUGGGAUAACUCCGGGAAACCGGAGCUAAUACCGGAUAGUUCCUUGAACCGCAUGGUUCAAGGAUGAAAGACGGUUUCGGCUGUCACUUACAGAUGGACCCGCGGCGCAUUAGCUAGUUGGUGGGGUAAUGGCUCACCAAGGCGACGAUGCGUAGCCGACCUGAGAGGGUGAUCGGCCACACUGGGACUGAGACACGGCCCAGACUCCUACGGGAGGCAGCAGUAGGGAAUCUUCCGCAAUGGACGAAAGUCUGACGGAGCAACGCCGCGUGAGUGAUGAAGGUUUUCGGAUCGUAAAGCUCUGUUGUUAGGGAAGAACAAGUGCGAGAGUAACUGCUCGCACCUUGACGGUACCUAACCAGAAAGCCACGGCUAACUACGUGCCAGCAGCCGCGGUAAUACGUAGGUGGCAAGCGUUGUCCGGAAUUAUUGGGCGUAAAGGGCUCGCAGGCGGUUUCUUAAGUCUGAUGUGAAAGCCCCCGGCUCAACCGGGGAGGGUCAUUGGAAACUGGGAAACUUGAGUGCAGAAGAGGAGAGUGGAAUUCCACGUGUAGCGGUGAAAUGCGUAGAGAUGUGGAGGAACACCAGUGGCGAAGGCGACUCUCUGGUCUGUAACUGACGCUGAGGAGCGAAAGCGUGGGGAGCGAACAGGAUUAGAUA
rnacentral:rRNA from 1 species